rnacentral:rRNA from 1 species
UACGUAGGUGGCAAGCGUUGUCCGGAUUUAUUGGGCGUAAAGAGCUCGUAGGCGGUUCGAUAAGUCGGACGUGAAAUCUCCACGCUCAACGUGGAGGGGCCGUUCGAUACUGUCGUGACUCGAGUCCGGUAGGGGAGUGUGGAAUUCCCGGUGUAGCGGUGAAAUGCGCAGAGAUCGGGAGGAACACCCGUAGCGAAGGCGGCACUCUGGGCCGGUACUGACGCUGAGGAGCGAAAGCGUGGGGAGCAAACAGG